rnacentral:rRNA from 1 species
AAUAUUGGCCACUGGGCGAAAGCCUGAUCCAUCCAUACCGCGUGUGUUAAUAACUUCUUCGGAUUGUAAAUCACUAUAAGUUGGGUGGAAGGGCUGUAGUUUAAUUCCCUUCCAUUUUGACUUUACCAACAGAGUAAGCACCGUCUAACUUCCUGCAUGCUUCUGCGGUAAUACGAAUGGUGCAAGCGUUAAUCGGAAUUACUGGGCGUAAAGCGCGCGUAGGUGGUACGUUAAGUUGGAAGUGGAAGCCCCGGGCUUAACCUGGGAAUUGCUUUCAAAACUGACGAGAUAGAGAACGGUAGAGGGUAGUGGAAUUUCCUGUGUAGCGGUGAAAUGCGUAGAUAUAGGAAGGAACAUCAGUGGCGAAGGCGACUACCUGGACUGAUACUGACACUGAGGUGCGAAAGCGUGGGGAGCAAACAGG